UUUAAAUAUUGAAUUGCUAUUAAUAUCUAAUUUGUGUUGAAUAUCUAAUUUAAAUAUUGAAAUGCUAUUAAUAUGUUCUAUUACUUUCUUUGGUGUCAUCUUUAAAUUUGUGUUGUUACUGAAUUUGAAGUUGUCCCAAUAAAUUGAAUCAUAUGUAGCUUUUCAAAUCAUGGAAAAGAGGAGAUUUUGAGAUAAAAUCAGGACCAGCCUUCACAUGAAUUUUCACUAUUCUUGUUUAGUAUAUCAAGUUUGAUGAAUACUGUAAUGGAACAAUGUUGUCAAAUAUUUGUCUGGAGUCCUUAAAUAGAUGGUUUUAUUGCUGAAUUUGGAUGGAAAAUUCUUAUGUUGUCUACCCUGUCAAUUUGCCCUCAUUAACAGCUCAUCUUCAAGCUUCAGUAGCCCUCAUUAAUAAGUUAAAUGUCUCCAUUUUCAGACCUUUAGAACUUGAACACCAAAACCAAAAGAAAAUCUAGUUUGUAUCGUAUAUACAUUUCUUCACUUCUCCUAUGAAUUAAACCUAGAGAUCAAGGAAGCAAAUCAACGGAUAAUUUGGGUACUAAUUUUCCAAGACAUCACCAGCAGUAAAAGAAAUCUGAAAAAAAAUGGAGUUACUCAGACGAAAAAAAAGAUAAACUCACUGGUUGUGGAGAAGAGGAACAAAGAACCAGAGACUUCUUCAGUGGAGAAGAGGAACAAAGAACUAGCAGAGGAACAAAGAACCAGCACCAGCAGAGGAACAAAGAACCAGCGAUGAGAGAAGAGAUGAGAGCAAAGAACCAGCGUUGUGUGUGUGGCUAAAAAAGUAAAAGACCAGCCCAAAAGCACUUUUUGGCUGAAAAAGCUAAAAAUUUUUGCUUUUCAUUUGCCCAAAAGCACUUCAAAUAAGUUAGAAAUUUGCUACCAAAUGAAGUCUAUUCUUUAUUGCUUUUCAGAGAAAAUCACUUUUCCAUAUAAAAG
rnacentral:lncRNA from 1 species